GUUGGGUAGGGGAGCGUUCUGUAAGCCUGCGAAGGUGUACUGUGAGGUAUGCUGGAGGUAUCAGAAGUGCGAAUGCUGACAUAAGUAACGAUAAUGCGGGUGAAAAACCCGCACGCCGGAAGACCAAGGGUUCCUGUCCAACGUUAAUCGGGGCAGGGUGAGUCGACCCCUAAGGCGAGGCUGAAAAGCGUAGUCGAUGGGAAACGGGUUAAUAUUCCCGUACUGGUGGUAACUGCGAUGGGGGAACGGAGAAGGCUAGGUUGUCCGGGCGACGGUCGUCCCGGUUCAAGCAGGUAGGCAGAGUGAUUAGGCAAAUCCGGUCACUUAAUGCUGAGAUGUGAUGACGAACCACCAAGGUGGUGAAGCAAUUGAUGCCCCGCUUCCAGGAAAAGCCUCUAAGCUUCAGGUUACCAACAAUCGUACCCCAAACCGACACAGGUGGUCAGGUAGAGAAUACUCAGGCGCUUGAGAGAACUCGGGUGAAGGAACUAGGCAAAAUGGUGCCGUAACUUCGGGAGAAGGCACGCUGGCGGUAGGUAAAGUCCCUUGCGGACGGCGCUGAAGCCAGUCGAAGAUACCAGCUGGCUGCAACUGUUUAUUAAAAACACAGCACUGUGCAAACACGAAAGUGGACGUAUACGGUGUGACGCCUGCCCGGUGCUGGAAGGUUAAUUGAUGGGGUCAGCCGUAAGGCGAAGCUCCUGAUCGAAGCCCCAGUAAACGGCGGCCGUAACUAUAACGGUCCUAAGGUAGCGAAAUUCCUUGUCGGGUAAGUUCCGACCUGCACGAAUGGCGUAAUGAUGGCCAGGCUGUCUCCACCCGAGACUCAGUGAAAUUGAACUCGCUGUGAAGAUGCAGUGUACCCGCGGCAAGACGGAAAGACCCCGUGAACCUUUACUAUAGCUUGACACUGAACAUUGAGCCUUGAUGUGUAGGAUAGGUGGGAGGCUUUGAAGUGUGGACGCCAGUCUGCAUGGAGCCAACCUUGAAAUACCACCCUUUAACGUUUGAUGUUCUAACCUAGGCCCAUAAACUGGGUCGGGGACCGUGUCUGGUGGGUAGUUUGACUGGGGCGGUCUCCUCCUAAAGAGUAACGGAGGAGCACGAAGGUUGGCUAAGCAUGGUCGGACAUCAUGCGGUUAGUGCAAAGGCAUAAGCCAGCUUGACUGCGAGAGUGACGGCUCGAGCAGGUACGAAAGUAGGUCUUAGUGAUCCGGUGGUUCUGAAUGGAAGGGCCAUCGCUCAACGGAUAAAAGGUACUCCGGGGAUAACAGGCUGAUACCGCCCAAGAGUUCAUAUCGACGGCGGUGUUUGGCACCUCGAUGUCGGCUCAUCACAUCCUGGGGCUGAAGUAGGUCCCAAGGGUAUGGCUGUUCGCCAUUUAAAGUGGUACGCGAGCUGGGUUUAGAACGUCGUGAGACAGUUCGGUCCCUAUCUGCCGUGGGCGUUGGAAGAUUGAGAGGGGUUGCUCCUAGUACGAGAGGACCGGAGUGAACGCACCACUGGUGUUCGGGUUGUCAUGCCAAUGGCAUUGCCCGGUAGCUAAGUGCGGAAGAGAUAACCGCUGAAAGCAUCUAAGCGGGAAACUUGCCUCGAGAUGAGUCUUCCCUGUCGCUUUAAGCGACCUAAAGGAACGUUUAAGACUAAGACGUUGAUAGGCUGGGUGUGUAAGCGUAGCGAUACGUUGAGCUAACCAGUACUAAUGAACCGUGAGGCUUAACCUG
rnacentral:rRNA from 1 species